GAAGGUGAAGUCCCGAGGUUGAAAGGAUGGAGGCGUGAGAAACGUGACUACAUCGAGGCGUGAGAAGCGUGACUACGUGAAUGAAUUCAAUGUGUUCACGUUAUCCCCAAUAAUCUUUAUGUCCAGCAUAUCCUAGGAAUAUAGUGUUUGAGAAAGGAUAUUUUUGAAAUGUAAACUGACUUAUGAGUCACUAUAAAAGGGGAGCCAUACCCUGUUGUAAGGGGAGACUCAUUAUUUUUAGAACUUCCAAGUGAUUAUCUCUUUCCAUUUACAAAUCUGUUAGGUAUCAAAUUU
rnacentral:lncRNA from 1 species